rnacentral:lncRNA from 1 species
AAGGGUGUUAUUUCGAACUUUAUCGAAAUAGUAACCCGUCAUCGUUCGUUCGAGGUCAAACUCUUCUCUUUUUGGCGAAGGCCCUUGGCCUAAAAGUGUGUUAUUUCGAACUUAUCGAAAUAGUAACCCGUCAUCGUUCGAUCGAGGUCGAACUCUUCUCUUUUUUGCGUAGGCCCCAGGAAUUAAAGUGUAUUAUUUCGAACUUUAUCGAAAUUGUAACCCAUCGUCGUUCAAUUGAGGUCGAACUCUUCUCUUUUUGGCGAAGGCCCUAGGCCUUAAAGGGUGUUAUUUCAAACUUAUCGAAAUAGUAUCUUGUCAU